rnacentral:misc_RNA from 1 species
AAGGAGUCUAACAUGUCUGCGAGUGUUUGGGUGUCAAACCCGAGCGCGUAAUUAAAGUGAACGUAGGAGGGAUGCGCAAGGUGCAGCAUCGACCGAUCUGGAUCUUUUGUGAUGGAUUUGAGUAAGAGCACAUAUGUUGGGACCCGAAAGAUGGUGAACUAUGCCUGAAUAGGGCGAAGCCAGAGGAAACUCUGGUGGAGGCUCGUAGCGAUUCUGACGUGCAAAUCGAUCGUCAAAUCUGGGUAUAGGGGCGAAAGACUAAUCGAACCAUCUAGUAGCUGGUUCCUGC